UAGUCCACGCCGUAAACGAUGGAUACUAGCUGUCGGGCCUUCGGGCUCGGCGGCCAAGCGAAAGUGAUAAGUAUCCCACCUGGGGAGUACGUUCGCAAGAAUGAAACUCAAAGGAAUUGACGGGGGCCCGCACAAGCGGUGGAGCAUGUGGUUUAAUUCGAUGAUACGCGAGGAACCUUACCAGGGCUUAAAUGCAUUAUGACAGGGGUAGAGAUACCCUUUUCUUCGGACAUUUUGCAAGGUGCUGCAUGGUUGUCGUCAGCUCGUGCCGUGAGGUGUCAGGUUAAGUCCUAUAACGAGCGCAACCCUUGCCGUCAGUUGCCAGCAAGUAAUGUUGGGGACUCUGACGGGACUGCCGGUGCAGACCGAGAGGAAGGUGGGGAUGACGUCAAAUCAUCACGGCCCUUACGUCCUGGGGCUACACACGUGCUACAAUGGCCGGUACAGAGAGCAGCCAUCCGGCAACGGG
rnacentral:rRNA from 1 species